rnacentral:tRNA from 1 species
UCCCUGGCAGCCCAGUGGUUAGGACUCCUCGCUCUCACUGCUGAGGGCCCAGGUUCAAUCCCUGGUCAGGGAA